AGCAACACAGGGCAUUAAAUGCACACAGGAGAAAGGAAGAAACAGGAUUAACAGCGACUCUACUCAGCCUGCUACAAAGUGACCUGGGAUUCCACCUAUUCUCUGGAAUACUUUGGCAUAAUCCUAAACUAGUAGGUCACUAACACACAUUCGAUUUUUACAGGGACACAGUAAAUGCUGAAAGACAGAUUUAAAAAGUGCAUUCACCUCUUUCCACAGUGUGAAUGGUAUUUGGUAAGAUAAUAGGGCUUAAGUAGACGUUUGAGAAUUGUUUUGCAAAUUCAUUUAAAAACGCAUGCUCGAUUUAAUUGUCACUACUGUCUGGGUUAACCUGCGCAACUUCAUUUCAAAGAGAAUCUACUGUAAUGCACAUCAAUGGUAGAACAAAUUCUGAUCUCACUUAUACUAGUGCAAAUCAGAGUAAUUUCAUUGCAAUCAGCGGGCAAUUGUGGCCUGUGCCAAUUUUACUUCAUGGUAGUUCUAUAUAUUCCAAUGAAUUUAUUCUGAUUUUACACUCUAGGAGAGAUAAAGGAGGUCUGAGAAGAACAUCUGGGUUUCUAUUUAUGUAUAGGAGAUAAGAAUUUGCCUUGUCUUACAAGCAGAUGUAAAUAUAUGUAUCAAUGUAUGUGUGCAUAUAUAUAUAUAUGUAUAAAUAUACACACAUGUGUACAUACAAUAUAUCUAUAUUUAUAUACACAUAGAAAUGCGUACUCUUGGAAACAGGAGAGAAAAAAAAAAUAUAUAUAUAUAUAUUUGUACACACACUUCUCUAAUUAGAAUACUCAUGCAGGUUACCAUAUAAAUAGUAAAUGUCACGUGUUCUAUUAUACUGGUGGUAUCCAACAUGUAUCUAAUUGAUUAUUUAGUCCUUGAUACAAAAAAAAGUCUUAAAUUUUACAGUAGAUUCCUUUUUUUUUUUUUUUUUUCUCCCAAUCCAGGUUGCUUUGCUACAGACAUCAAGCACAUAACCAGGAAGAUCUCAUGCCAAAACAAAAAUGAAGGCCACAGUACUUUAAGAAAAAGAUACAGACAUACCACCAAAACAAAACCACAUACCACAAGAGUUGAAAAAUGGUCCACUAAGGGUUAGCAGUGCAAUGUCCCAGUGGAAAACUUACAGAUGCAGAAAACCAGCUACAGGGAACUCUCCUAGCACAAGAGAAUUGGUCCAAGCCUCUGUUAUGAUGCGUGCUUUAGAGGCAGUUAAUAACACCGUGUUCUCGAAGAAGAGUUUCACAUUUCGGUGCAAACACUGUGAGCAACAGAACUACUACCCCCAUAAUUACCACAAGCUGAUGAGUGCACUUACUGAAUAAAAUUAGCAAUCACAUUUUUCAUUGUGUAAGCUGUCACGAAUACAAUGUUUAUGAUUCAUUUAUUUUUCAUUGUUGACGUAAUACUCAAGAUUGCAUACUUUAACAGGAUCAUCUUCUUUUCUGCCCAUCACUGAAAAUACUAGUGCUAGUUCAUCUGCCUGUCUUAUAUCCACCUUAGCUUAUCUCCCUGUGUGUCUCAGCAGUGCCAAGAACACCGUCAACUGCUAGAAUACAUACACACAAAAGGUAAGGGUCCAAAUCAAAAAAUCUCUCUUCUGACCACAAUAAUGGGUACUGUUGCUUUUAAUAUGGUGCUUUUUCUCUGUACGGUAAUUCCUUUCAGACUAACUCAAAGAUAAACAGAGUGCCUUCUCAGAAAGCACACAUUACACAAUUCAGAUAAUCACCCCUGUGGUGUAGAGCCACCGUAAAAGCAGAAUCAGGGGUAAUCUUUGAUUUUGACCAUCUGUAAGAACCUGUAUCUCACCUGACACACACAGUAACCCUGUGUUCCCACAGCUGCAAUUUGCAGAAUCUAAUACAGACCAACUAAAAAUUUAACAUGGCAUUUCUCUCUAGUACACACUCGAGGUAAAGUGAUAGCAGUGUGUGUUCAGGCGUUAAUUAAAGUUGUAACUGUUUCUUUCAUUUUAAAUUUACUGAAGGUGUCUUACAGCCAAAACAUGUCAGAGCAAGGUCUGUCAGUCAUCUAUCACUGACACCAACCAGCGCUCCAAAGAGUACAACAACAGGCAAAGGUAAGUAUCAUUGAAAGGUGGACACAACAAUAGGACAUUAUCAUUCACUGUAGAAACAGCUGUUUCUAUCAUAAAGAUCUAAUUUAUUAACUAAAUAACAAGAUAAAAUAUGGAAAACAAGGAGUGUUCAUUACAGUAUACACCAAAAAAUAAACCUGUUCCAUCUCCCUGAAACAGCCUCCCAGGUGAAAUGAGAGAUUUCUGAAGGGUUCUCUGACUUCUGGAUAAGUGUGAAAUGCUAGAUAGCAAAUUCAGGCAAACAUAGUGUAGUACGAGGGUAGCAGAGAAAGAAUAGUGCCAGUUAUCAUACUAAGUAUGGAGGAGCUAGUUCACAAAAAGAAGCUAUACACUACUGAGAAAUUUAAGAACUAAUUUUGGAGAACUAGGAAGAGCUAGCAUUAACCUGGUACAAAAAGAAAGAAACCAAAGGGGAAAAAGUUCCCAGCUCUAUGAGCUGUAGCAUAAAGAGUCUGUAAGGACAGUACAUAGAUGCAGGAUUUCUAGAGCUGAUAUGGAGUAUGGAAAUAUGUUAAUUUUCACCACACCAUCCUAUUUAUUUCCCAAUCUUUUGCCACAUUUGUUUUCUCAUCCACUUAUUUAAUCUAAUUACUUUUAUCCCUUUCUUUAAAUCAGCACAAUUCAUAUUGGUUUGGGUAUUUAUAUGGAAUAGAGUCGAUAAAAUAAUUUAUAACAAACUAUUUUCUGAAACAUAGAAGCCUCCUUUACUGCUUUUUUGCUAUAAAACAGAGCUACAAGAUGGUGACAUUACUCUUCCAGGACUACAAAAUCUUUGAUUUUCUGAAGGACUGUGUAUAUCGAUAUAUAACUAAUUCAUACAGAACUAAGGGAUAUUAUAAAACUUGCUUUCUGAAGCAUGCCCUUAGGAAAGUGAAAAAAUUGUUUGACUAAUAUAAAGGAAAUUUAAAAAUCAGAUUAAUUAUUUGUUGCCACACAUACAUAUACAAAAUUUCUCUUCUCCCUAACAUUUCUUUUACCAGAAGUGAAGUGACAAGACUAAAGCAGGAGGAGAUUGUACUCAAAAGAGCGAACAAAACUCGCAGGAAUAUUUGGCAGAUUAAGCCACCACUGGAAUCACGGGUACUUUGUCAUUGUAAAUUCCUAUGGUCAAAAAGAAAAUGAUACAUACUACUUGUAUGUGAAUAGCCCUAACAUAUAUAUCAUCUAAUAGCUACAGACUGGGGAAGCAUCCCUCUUUAGCACUAACUUUGGAUUAUUUUGGCAACCCACUGCAAGAAAUUAAAUUUUAACUUAAGCGAUGAUUCAAAAUCAAAGGAAAUUAAAGCUUAAGGUGGCAAAGUCAAAACUUGUGUGGCGGGGUGACAAGGGCAACAAUGAGACAAGCUUUGUCAGUACUAGGAGCCAGGACAGCCUUUGAGUAAGUUUCCUUUUCUGACAGUUUUAAAGGUUGAGUUAGAAAUGAUGCACAACACAAACACGUGACAUUGACGUUUAUAGUCUUGCAAACUGGACUGAUAUUGAGCUUUCCUGAGACUUAGCAAAGCGGCAGUGAAAUUACAAGGGCUUUUUAUAGCAAAAUCAAUUAAACAGAUUAGUUUAUGGGAAAACAUUGCCUUCUCUCUUUUAAGAAAAUGAAGACAAAAUCAGGAUUUAAAAAAUAACAACAAAAGCAAUUCUUUCCCAGAAAUAAAUUACAGACUGCAGACGACUCUAAACAUGUUUCUUUUAAACACAUGGUCAGCAGUUAGACAAAGCAUCAUCUAUUCUCUAAUUUAGCCAUACCUACUCAUAAAUCAUGGAGGCCAUUUCAUUCUCUUUAAUUUUAGAGCAAUUAUAAGCUACGCACUCACCAUAUGAAAGGUUACUAUAUCAAGCAACAUCAGCUACAGCAUCGCCCUGGUUAAGGACACAUAAAAGUUCCCUACAUCCUUCAGGCUGAUUCCCUGCCUUCUACAGAGAGCAGAGCAAACACCAAUGGGUUUUCUCAUGGCUCCAUUUGAACAAAACACAAACAAACUAUGCACUGAAUUCAUCCACCUUCCAAGGACAUAAAAAGUUGUGAUUUCCAAUAAAUUUCUGGAUUUCAAAUGUGAUCCUGUGUUAUUCCCUUUGCUGUUUUUAUUCAUAUGGAAUUAACAUAGUCUUAUCCUAUAUCUAUGCUCAUUUAAAAGGUAAUAGCAGGAUUAACAAACAAAAAAAGGAUGUGUCAGCACUGGGGCACAAAAGAAGAGAGUUGCUGUGUGACCUGUAAAGAACUGCUGUUAUGUAAAUAGCUUUGCAGAAGAGUCACGCUUCCAGGUAGCUGUGAACGCAAGCAGUUGGCACUCAAACGCACUUCUCGUUCUGCAGAAUCAUUUGGAGAGCCAUGCAAACCUAGCAACGUGAAGUGCCUUUCUAGAACAGGCAAUAGCUCUUUUAACACACAAAUCAGAAUAGGCAAAAUCAAUACACCGUUUUUGUGGUUAGUUCAGAUGUGAUUAUCCUUUUAAACUAGCUAGGCAGGCACACAUGCUCUCAUCAAAUAGCAAGGAAUGAUCAAAAAGCUGCAGCUGGAGCACAUCCAUUGUAGACACAUUUGAGAACAUUUAUGUGUGUGUUAUCUUAAUUUUAUAAAAGCAACUGGGAAACAAGGAGAUAGCAGCAUUCAGUGUAAGUCGCAGCGUGAAGAAGCAGAAACAAUCAGGGUGCUUCGGCCAUUGCAAAGUGUUCAGCUGGAGAACGAAACUGAUAGAACAUCGGAAAUGAAGAAAAAAGGCCUUGAUCCAGCUCCCACUGAAGUCAACAGCAAGUCAUUCAACUACCUCAAGGUGAUUUUGAUCAGGCUGCAACUAUGCCAUACAUAAACAGGGCAAAAUACACAUUCGAGGAGGACAAAAAACAUGAUCCAAAAAACAUGAUCCUACGCAAGAAUCCACUAGAAAUAAUAACUGAUGGCCGCAUUCUCUUCACUGCAUUAGUCAGCUACAGAGAGAUUGAGUAGCAUCCCCUAAAAAUAUGCUUUUGUAGUUUGGGUUUUUACUUAGCCGCUUAACCAUUUUGCACUGCUGAAUAUUUUAGAAAUUUUAUGAUUUUUUGUGGUUAUGUUAAAGGAGAUGAAGUAUCGUGCCAAUAAACACCUAGUGUGCUAAGUGAAUACAUUUUCCUUUGGGAAGGUCCCGCUUCAGGUGCUCUGUGCAGGAUGCAACGUGCCAGUGAUAGAAACAAGGUCACACAGAACAUGCACUUGGUACGAAAAAUUAAAUAUAUGGGGUCAAGUUUCAUUUUUUUAAUACAGUGCUGUUAUUCUGCUAGUUCCAAUACGGUGGCACUAUUUUGAAAAUAUGGUCUAGGGAGUGAGUCUGCAACACUGUUUAUAGUGACAGAUGAGAGAAAAGGUCCCUUUUUUCUGUAAAAUGGCAGUAACUGUAAAAUGGCAGUUGAAACUAGACCUAUUUACAGUGGUUUGUGUUGCAUUUUUUUAUUGUUUUUUCCUUCCUUUUUAGUAACAUUAAACCACUUUACUGAUAGAGAAAAAAUAAUGUUAAUUAAAUCAAGGGUUAAAACAAGCUAAGAAUGUAUAGGUUUGUUAAGAUUGUUUGCAGUGGACCUAUAAGGAAGAGCAAUAGGUCCAUGCCUAACUGUUAUUGCUAGUCAGUCAGAGUAGAUUUUUUUUUCUCUUGGCCAGUGUGCACUAUCAAAACACUAAAGCAUCCUUAAGUGAAGUAAGAGAGGAGGAUAAAUAAGGCGGGUGAGAAGUGCAAUAUAUUAAAGA